rfam:Oreochromis niloticus linkage group LG14, whole genome shotgun sequence.
AGCCCCAAACCCGUAGAUCCGAACUUGUGUUAAGUGACACCACAAGCUUGUAUCUACAGGUCUGCGUCUG